CUUCCUUUCCCUUCCACCCCUCUAUCCCACCAUUUGUCCCCCCUCCCUUUCUUCACGUACCACUCUUCCUUUCCUUAUCUAUUAUCCUUCUGCCACCUACCACCCCUCUAUCCCUUCCCUAUCACCUCUCGUUCCUUCCACUUGUGUUUUAUUGGUUUAUUUAAUAAGUUUUAUAGUAUAUGAUGGUCACCUUAUUAAUAAUGUAACAUUUUGUGUGAUUACAAUUACACUACACACACUUAGUCGAAGUGACCAGUUAUUAGUGUUGAUAUUAAUGGGAUAAAUAUUAGAUAAGUUUAUUGGAGUUUGCUAUAAAAUAUGUGACUAUAAUUAUAAAUUGUGAGUGUGAAGAAGGGUUUAUAAGUUGUAUAUAUGUCAAUUAGAGGAACAAAUAAUUUGCUAACCACACCCUAGUCCUUCAAUGGAAAACGCAUCGAAAUGCGCAGCGGCGAAUGCAUUCGGCGGGAGAAUAAUGCGGCGACACGCGUAGAAUACUCGUACGCCUCUCUCGGGCACGUACGUUUCCAUUUACUAAAGUUAGGUGGGUUUGUUUGGGUGGCGUGGGACCCAGAGGGCAUCGGCAGGCGGUCGCGUCCGGCGGUUGCCGUGCGAGAAAUUGGGAGGACGGGCUUUCACGUUGCAGAAAUUAAGGAACGGCAUCUUCCGGCGGAACCACAGCCCGCGAUUAAAGGAACGCUCGGGUUUGACGCCCACGGACCGAGCGCGCGGCUCCUCCGCCGUACAUUUCGUCGUCGGUAACAAGAGUAGUCGAUUGAAGUCCCCUCUUUUGCCUGGGUGGAUGUGUCUGUGCUAACCGUUUUAGGCAAGUGAAUGUUUGGUACAGCAGAUUUGGGGAUUCAUUGUAGGGUAGACUUGCCAUACAGUGCAGUGUUUUAAUUGGUAUUAUAUUGCGGCGAUCGGCGAGCACGGAGACCGAAGCCUCACUCGACCGUGUCUCGGGAGGCGUGGGGUUUGGUCCGAGGCCACUCGCAGUCAUCGUCGAGGGUAUAGUCCGGAGCGCCGUUCGACGUGACGUCUCGUCGAAAUUCCGGAGCGGUCUUCUCGUCGCGGGGCGCGCCGGAGGUCGACGCUACGACGUUCCCGGAGGGGUCGUCGUCGUCGUCGUCGGGUAUUUGACGUGCAUCCGGAGUAGAACGAGGGCACGCGUCGAACCGUCGAAAGUGCGCAAGAAAUGAGAUCGCGUAAAUAACGGCAGAUUAAUUUCGUCGACACUCGUACGUAUAAGAGUGCAAAGUAAAUAAAUAAUACGUAUUUUUUUUAUGGGAAUUAGCCCACCCGGGCACGGGUCACCGACCCACAUCGGGGCGAAAAUGUAAUAAUAAUAAUAAUUGUUGAAGUUACAGUGUUCAUUUUUGGUGGAUAUCAACGAAAUAUGAUGCGAGAGGCUCAGACGACGACACAAACGACGACGCUCUCUCCGGUAUAUUUUCGGGACCGUCCGUAAAAACGAAACCAAAACACACGUGCGCAUUCAAAGUGGCGCUUUAUUCCACAAGUAAAAUAUAACAUAUUGCCAUAAAUAUGGGGUAACCUAGUUUAUAUGUAACAAUAAUACUGAAGAACCUUAAAGAAAUACAAAAUGGAAAAAAAAAUCAAAAGUGAGGAACAAUAUAUUUAUGUUGUGUUGUCAAUAGUAAGAGAAACAAUCGAGUGUUAACGAGGCAGAGAGUCAGACGAGCGACCCGGGACUCGGUCACAAUUUUAGGGAUGCCACGUAGCAGGAAGAUCUACCACGGACGACACAUUACGCUUCCAAUAUUGUCUGCGGAGGUGGUAUCUCCCCGUUUGGUGGCUGCCUAAGUAUGUAAGAUUUUCCAAUGGAAAGUGUAUGUUUGGCAAAUGUAUCCAGGUCUUUAGAGAAUGUACUCAGAUAUUUGGGUUAGGUGUCAAGGGUUCAUGUAUAAUUUGCAUGCCUAAUUGACUAUGUAUAUUUUUUAACCUUAAUUUUUCAUUUGCAGUCACCCGGCGGGAGUCAGAAACGUCAUUUUUGUGCGGACCGGCGACUCGACGGACCCCGGCCGAGGACGCCGCUCGAACCGCGGUUGCGGAGGAGCGCGCCGAUACGAGUCGGAGACGGCUCGUACAGUCGGCGCACGAGAGCGGUCCGGACGAAGACAUUCGGGAACCGAGGACGAAGACGCUCGUCCACUGCGGACGAAGACACCGGUCGACGCGCGAGGAAGAUGCUCGGGAACACGGGAAGAACGCCACACUCCCGAGUGCGGGAAGACACUCGUCAACGCAGAAGGAGACACGCAUCAAUGUCGGGCCGGCGUGAUUGUUGUAAAGACGAUUUAACGUGUAAAAUGAAUGUACGUGUUGUUUGUAACGAUUGUUAUAAUGUUUGUAGUAUUGUUUUUAGAGACCGACUCUGCGAAGACGGAGGAAGUCGAUACAUGUCGAGAAUGAAUUUAUUGAAGAUGUUGCCUGUGAUCACUAGGUGUUUGCACUAAUUUGGGGAGAUGAUUACGAUCGUAGAACGUCACGGAAUGCGGCGCGCACGUCAUUUGUGGCGGGACGCAUCCGUAAAUAACGGCAGC